AGAGUUUGAUCCUGGCUCAGAAUCAACGCUGGCGGCGCGCCUAACACAUGCAAGUCGCACGAGAAAGUGGAGCAAUCCAUGAGUACAGUGGCGUACGGGUGAGUAACACGUGGAUCAUCUGCCCUGGAGUGGGGAAUAACGCUGGGAAACCGGCGCUAAUACCGCAUAUUCCCGAGAGGGGAAAGCAGCAAUGCGCUCGAGGAGGAAUCCGCGGCCGAUUAGCUAGUUGGCAGGGUAAAAGCCUACCAAGGCUGCGAUCGGUAGCCGGCCUGAGAGGGCACACGGCCACACUGGCACUGAAACACGGGCCAGACUCCUACGGGAGGCAGCAGUGGGGAAUCUUGCACAAUGGGGGAAACCCUGAUGCAGCGACGCCGCGUGAGCGAUGAAGCCCUUCGGGGUGUAAAGCUCUUUCGGCAGGGACGAUUAUGACGGUGCCUGCAGAAGCAGCUGCGGCUAACUACGUGCCAGCAGCCGCGGUAAUACGUAGGCAGCAAGCGUUGUUCGGAGUUACUGGGCGUAAAGGGUGUGUAGGCGGCCUGUUAAGUUCCGUGUGAAAUCUCCCGGCUCAACUGGGAGGGUGCGCGGAAAACUGGCGGGCUAGAGUGCGGGAUGGGAGAGUAGAAUUCCUGGUGUAGCGGUGAAAUGCGUAGAUAUCAGGAGGAAUACCGGUUGUGUAGACGGCUCUCUGGACCGUAACUGACGCUGAGACACGAAAGCGUGGGUAGCAAACAGGAUUAGAUACCCUGGUAGUCCACGCCCUAAACGAUGCAUAUUUGGUGUAGGUCAUUCAGUUGAUCUGUGCCGGAGCUAACGCGUUAAAUAU
rnacentral:rRNA from 1 species